rnacentral:lncRNA from 1 species
GCUUAGCAACUGCCACCAUCAUUAACUGCAAGAAUUAGGUCUUGCCUCAUUAACUGCUGAUUGAAGCUCUGCUUGGCCCUCUGGGAUACCUAACACCCCAGGCCUAUCACCAGAUGAACCCCUGGUUAGGCGCUUUUGCCUUCGCCUGUGUUGCUUUGCACAGCUCCUUGACCUCAACCUUCUUACGAAUGUUUAUCCUUCUACCAGACAAAGUGCGUGACCCCCCAAAAAGGUGAAGAAUCAAAGCAACAGAGCUAGACUACCAUUACCUCAACUCAGUUUCAUGGGACUGAAUGGGCUGUGCAAUGUGGUCCUCUUGUGGUCAGGUAAGUUGGGGAAACAUUAUUUAAUGUAUCUCACCUGUUGGAAAUUCAUAAAACAGUAAGUUAU